AUUGAACGCUGGCGGCAGGCCUAACACAUGCAAGUCGAACGCGUGGCGGACGGGUGAGUAAUGUCUGGGAAACUGCCUGAUGGAGGGGGAUAAAUACUGGAAAUGGUAUCUAAUACCGCAUACCCACGUAUGUGCCCAGAUGGGAUUAGCUUCUAGGUGAGGUAACGGCUCACCUAGGCGACUAUCCCUAGCUGGUCUGAGAGGAUGACCGGCCACACGGGAACUGAGACAAGGUCCAGACUCCUACGGGAGGCAGCAGUGGGGAAUAUUGCACAAUGGGCGCAAGCCUGAUGCAGCCAUGCCGCGUGUAUGAAGAAGGCCUUCGGGUUGUAAAGUACUUUCAGCGGGGAGGCGUUACCCGCAGAAGAAGCACCGGCUAACUCCGUGCCAGCAGCCGCGGUAAUAC
rnacentral:rRNA from 1 species